CCUACGGGAGGCAGCAGUGAGGAAUAUUGGUCAAUGGACGAGAGUCUGAACCAGCCAAGUAGCGUGAAGGAUGACUGCCCUAUGGGUUGUAAACUUCUUUUAUAAAGGAAUAAAACGAGGCACGUGUGCCUUUUUGCAUGUACUUUAUGAAUAAGGAUCGGCUAACUCUGUGCCCGCAGCCGCGGUAAUACGGAGGUUCCGAGCGUUAUCCGGAUUUAUUGGGUUUAAAGGGAGCGUAGAUGGGUUGUUAAGUAAGUUGUGAAAGUUUGCGGCUCAACCGUAAAAUUGCAAUUGAUACUGGCAGUCUUGAGUACAGUGGAGGUAGGCGGAAUUCGUGGUGUAGCGGUGAAAUGAUUAGAUAUCACGAAGAAAACCGAUUGCGAAGGCAGCUUACUAAACUGUGACUGACAUUGAUGCUCGAAAGUGUGGGUAUCAAACAGGAUUAGAUACACCGGUAGUC
rnacentral:rRNA from 1 species